ACCCCGGGCAGGCAGGGGGGUUCCGAGGCCCACGCAGGACUCCGGCUGCUGCCCGUCGCGGAUCCCGCUUUGAACCUCCCUGGUCCUUCUCGACCGCGCUGCCUCAGUUUCCCCAACUGGGAACUUCUUCGAGGACUGGGGGCGGGGGCGGCGGUGGAGGCAGGGCAGCACACCUCAGCUGUCACCAUGGACACUGCCAUUUCCUGCAGAACUGAAGACAGAGACCUGACAGCAAGUGGCGUUGGGAGGGGCACAGACAGCAAGGAGCGGCUGCAGCUCAUCCUCAGACAUUCGAAGCUCGCUAACAAAAAUCAGGCCGACACUUCGCUAACACUAACACACGCAAUCACUGCCCCCCACGCGUGAUCCACACCCAUCGAUACCUGUCACACACCACCUCUGUGUGCACAGACACGCACAGUUCCUCCCAGGUCAGACAAAAGCUUCUAGCCCUAAGGCCUGUCUACACCCUUUCUUGGCAUCUCAGAUCUGAAAUCGCCUAACCUGAAGAGGGCUUAAGUCCCUGUCCCCGCUCUCCAAAUUCCGCAACCAGGGCCAGCCCCAACAGCUGAGAGGCCACGCAGAAGUAAGUCAAGUACCAAGGUCGAGGCGAAGAACCGGGAGCUGACCAGGCGGAGGGGCUGUGAAACGCCUCCCUUACGCUCCCUCCUGCCACAGGCCUCUUCCCGGCACGUCCACGCGCGGCCCGCCCGGCCCGCCGCCCGCCUGUCAGAAGAGUAAUGAAUGCGCGCUCGGGGCCCGGGGCCCCCUCGGAGUCGUUCAUCACUGCCAGCACCGCCCACCUCUCUGCCGCUCGCAGGGAGGGUUAACCGGUCCUGGCAGCGAGAGCCUCUCACCCCCCAUCUCGACCACUAAUUGUCAGAUUGAAAUGUUGAUUUGUCAGCUGGAAGCUAGCGCCAAAGAAUCCGCAGUAAAAGCGCGGACUCCUUGAA